UACGUAGGUGGCAAGCGUUACUCGGAAUCACUAGGCGUAAAGCGCAGGUAGGAGGUUUGGUAAGUCUGUUGUGAAAGCUCCCGGCUUAACUGGGAGAGGUCAACGGAAACUGCCAGGCUUGAGUGUGGUAGAGGUAGCUGGAAUUCCCGGUGUAGCGGUGAAAUGCGUAGAUAUCGGGAGGAAUACCUAUGGCGAAAGCAGGCUACUGGACCAUCACUGACUCUGAUCUGCGAAAGCCAGGGGAGCAAACGGG
rnacentral:rRNA from 1 species